CUCUCAUUGGCCUGUUCCCUUUCUCAUCACCCUCUCCGCUGGAUCCCGUCAGCCUCUCUGCUCACCCUCAGCUCACCAUCUGUGGCGUGGGCUCGCCGUUGGUCUGCCCGUCUCCAGCUCUAUUGGCAUCGAGUCUGGAGGAUCCCUCGACUCCGCCUUCAACCUCCGAGGCUCAGACUCCGCCUCGGUCCUGCCACCCAGUGGCUCUACCAUGGCUUCCAGCUCCCUCGUCUCCACCAGAGCCCAUCAGUCCACCAACUCCCCUGGGCUCCCUCAUUCCUCCAGCUCUGCCUUGGUCCGUCGUUCCCCUACCUCCACCUCAGGACUACACUCCUCCAGCUUUGCCUCAUCCCUCCGUCCCUCCGGCUCCUUUGGGCUUCUCCCUCCCUCCUGCUCCACCUCAGUCCUCUGUCGCUCCGGCUCCGCCGCGGCCUUCCGGAUCGCCGCCUACACCUCGGUCGCCGAAGCCUCCGGCUCCGCCUGGGCCCUCCGGAUCUUCGGCUUCACCCUUGCUCUUCAGCUCUCUGUUGCCACCACGGGCUCCACUACCUGCUCUGCCACCAUCGGUCGGCCCCCUGGAGCCGUCAGCCCUUCCUCCACCUUGGCCUCUCCCUCUGUCGACUACACCGUGGGCCGCCAUUAUGACUGUGGCCUGGGUCCGGCCUGGCUGAUCCUCCCUGGCUCUUUUCUCCAUCUCCACCCUGGACUCUGGUUGUCAUCCUCCUCCCAGGUGUCCGUCCUCCCCCGGAACCUCCUCCAGUAUGUGUCUGCCUGCCUUCCUGCCAGCCCUUUUCCAUCCCACUUCCACUCCUUUGUCCUCCUCCUAAGUCCCCCUCCGUCCCACCCUUUUUCUCUCCGGCGAGAGGUCGCGCCUUCCGGUAGGGGGGCGAAUUGUCACCGUUAUGGUCUGUUUGUUGUGUUUUCUCCCUCAGUGCCCAUAUUUGGUCAUGUUCCUGUUCUCAUUUUCUCAUUAUUAGUUGAUACUCAUCACCUGUUUGCCCCUCGUUAUCUGCCCUAUUUAUAGUUUCCUGUCUGUUCAGUUUGCUGUCGGUUAUUGUUAGGUGUCACAUGUGUUUGUUUUACCUUAAGUA
rnacentral:lncRNA from 1 species